UUCAGAUAAGCCAUUAAGCGUAAUGACUAAAUUUGUGUGUGUCUUUUUUCUUUUUUUUGUCAUGACUUUUGUCAAUGAACUCGUUUAUGGUGGUGGUGAAGGAUCUCUUAAACCAGAAGAAUGUCCGACGAAAUGCGACUAUCGUUGUUCAGCGACUCGAGUUAAGAAGGCGUGUCUCUAUUAUUGUAACUUGUGUUGUGAUAAAUGUUUAUGUGUUCCAUCUGGAACCUACGGUAAUAAAGAAGAAUGUCCAUGUUAUAACAACUGGAAAACCA
rnacentral:sRNA from 1 species